CAGCACAGACAUCAGGGUGGUGUAUACUGUAUUUCAAAAUUCUUUGCGGAAUUGAGUGUCGAUCUACAUGAUCUACAUUUUCAGCCAAAUGUAAUUGGCAAUCUGACAUAUAAUUACACUUGGCCAAAUGUGAUGACGUGAGUCGAAACUGCUGUCCAUUUUCGGCAUUUUGUCGAAACGUCGGUCAUUGUUAGCUGUAUUGUAUCAUGUCGUGCCGAAACACUUCAGAGCUAGUCGGAGAUGGAGAACCCUUUGCUCAACUGUUGCAGAAAAAUUGAGAACAUGACAAUGUCAUCUGAGGUUCAUGGAUGUUGUAUCUUAAAUGUGGUUGUGUUGCAGCCAGCUGGUGAGAAAGAUGUGUUUGAGUCAAGUUGAGCUGCAGACAGUUUAUCGAACUGGUGUUAUCCCAAGUGUCACUGCAGGAAAACUUCUUUAAUUGGAGUUCAUGCUCAGUUUGAGCUGUUUGCGGUGUUGCUGUUUGGUGUACAGUGGUUUUGCAGUCCCUUUCCAGUUGAUAGAUGCUCUGAAAUGGAGCUUUUGCAGACUUGCAGUUCAACAUCACACUUAAAUGUGUCAUUUGUCUACGUUGGUGUCCAUGCAGUAUAUGCAGUGUUGAACAGUUGGGUAAAAUAGUCUAUGCUGCGAUUGCUGCCUGAUGGCUGUCGGUCUUAUUUUAUCGGUUGCAUUUUGUCUAAUGCCGUCUCUUGCUGCCUGUACCGGCAUUGAGUUGAAUCGUUUGCUGUCGUUCCAUAGACUUGAUCCAUUGGUAGAACUGAGGAGAGGCUGCUGAAAUUCAAGACUCGUCAAUAAAUUAUGUAGAUGUAGACAAAUUACAGAUGCGCAAACACGAAUGUUAUGAAUUUCGUUUUGGGGUCAAUGGAGUUGGCGCUGGUUGCCGAACGUUACUUACUGGCCUUUUGCGACGUCUUGAUAUCAGUUUGGAAUAAUAAAUAGCUCUGGACUCUGGGGAAUCCUCACUCAUACUUGAGUCAACCUGCAGACAGGUCGGCCAGUUUGUCCAGACAGGAUGUCCUUCACGCUCGAAGGUCACGAGAAACAUUACGUAAAACUGGCAUGUGGUGGUUUAGAGGUUGGGUGAGAACGACACGUGUUUCAACAUUAUCAAGCAGACCCAUCCCCAGCAACGUCACUUGCAGAAGGAAAGG